GUCGAGCGGACAGAAGGGAGCUUGCUCCCGGAAGUCAGCGGCGGACGGGUGAGUAACACGUAGGUAACCUGCCCCUUAGACUGGGAUAACUCCGGGAAACCGGAGCUAAUACGGGAUAAUAAAGAGAAUCACCUGAUUCUCUUUUGAAAGACGGUUUCGGCUGUCACUAAGGGAUGGGCCUGCGGCGCAUUAGCUAGUUGGUAAGGUAACGGCUUACCAAGGCGACGAUGCGUAGCCGACCUGAGAGGGUGAUCGGCCACACUGGGACUGAGACACGGCCCAGACUCCUACGGGAGGCAGCAGUAGGGAAUCUUCCGCAAUGGACGAAAGUCUGACGGAGCAACGCCGCGUGAGUGAGGAAGGCCUUCGGGUCGUAAAGCUCUGUUGUGAGGGAAGAACAAGUACCGGCGUAACUACCGGUACCUUGACGGUACCUCACCAGAAAGCCACGGCUAACUACGUGCCAGCAGCCGCGGUAAUACGUAGGUGGCAAGCGUUGUCCGGAAUUAUUGGGCGUAAAGCGCGCGCAGGCGGCUUCUUAAGUCUGAUGUGAAAUCUCGGGGCUCAACCCCGAGCGGCCAUUGGAAACUGGGAAGCUUGAGUGCAGAAGAGGAGAGUGGAAUUCCACGUGUAGCGGUGAAAUGCGUAGAUAUGUGGAGGAACACCAGUGGCGAAGGCGACUCUCUGGUCUGUAACUGACGCUGAGGCGCGAAAGCGUGGGGAGCAAACAGGAUUAGAUACCCUGGUAGUCCACGCCGUAAACGAUGAGUGCUAGGUGGUUAGGGGUUUCGAUGCCCGUAGUGCCGAAGUAAACACAUUAA
rnacentral:rRNA from 2 species